rnacentral:rRNA from 1 species
GGCAGCAGCCGCGGGAACACCGGCGGCCCGAGUGGUGAUCGUGAUUAUUGGGUCUAAAGGGUCCGUAGCCGGUUUGGUCAGUCCUCCGGGAAAUCUGAUAGCUCAACUAUUAGGCUUUCGGGGGAUACUGCCAGACUUGGAACCGGGAGAGGUAAGAGGUACUACAGGGGUAGGAGUGAAAUCUUGUAAUCCCUGUGGGACCACCUGUGGCGAAGGCGUCUUACCAGAACGGGUUCGACGGUGAGGGACGAAAGCUGGGGGCACGAACCGGAUUAGAUACCCGGGUAGUCCCAGCCGUAAACGAUGCUCGCUAGGUGUCAGGCAUGGCGCGACCGUGUCUGGUGCCGCAGGGAAGCCGUGAAGCGAGCCACCUGGGAAGUACGGCCGCAAGGCUGAAACUUAAAGGAAUUGGCGGGGGAGCACAACAACGGGUGGAGCCCUGCGGUUUAAUUGGACUCAACGCCGGACAACUCACCGGGGGCGACAGCAAUAUGUAGGCCAAGCUGAAGACUUUGCCUGAAUCGCUGAGAGGUGGUGCAUGG